rnacentral:tRNA from 1 species
UCCUUGGUGGCUCAGAUGGUAAAGCGUCUGCCUACAAUGUGGGAGACCCAGGUUCAAUCCCUGGAUUGGGAA